ensembl:lncRNA
CUUCUGAUAAACUACGACUAGAAUUGAAUGCAGCACUUGACCCUUCUGUCCCUUUGCCUUAUCUAUAGAGCGGUGAACCAUAAAGCCGGAACGGUUCAGCUGUAACUGUCCACUAGUGUCACUUUGUUCUUGUUUAUAGGACUGAUCUUUUCUUCUCAUUGCACUCUGCCGCAAUUCCGGUUUUAUGCCUGAUUGAUUAACGUCCUCCAUUAAAGACUCAGUGACUUUUCAGCUGCAGCUGUAGUGAUUUCACAUCUGUGCGUCCCUUCUUUCAAGUUUCAAUCUGGUCUCUGGUUAUCCCUCCAUUUUAAGGUAAAACAGCAGAGGAGGAAACCAUCCGAGAUUUGAAGACAAAAUACAUGGAGCCCCUGAUGAUGAGAGAAGAGGAAGAGACAAAGAAACACACUGAGGUGAAGCAGACCGAGAGGUGAGGAAAGCAGACGAGACCGGCUGGGAAAUCAAGGAAUGUCGGGUAUGGGAGACGAUUUGGGCCAGCAGGAGAGGUCACGUCUUCUCCUCCACAUCCAGUGCUCCCUCCCUCCUCCAGGAGGCAGGGGGGGUUACUCCGCUACCUGGAGACCGACAGCCUCCCUCAACCGGCCAAUCGGAAGCUCUGAAAAACAGGCCGCUGCUCGGCCAUUGGUCCGCCGCUCCCAGGAACUCAUUGCGCCAUCAGUGGCUGUGUCAUUGUGUCGUCUGGCAGUGCUGAAGCCAAUUAUACUGCCCCUCUUUCUUUGUUCAGACCCGUUGUCUCCAGCGGACCCCCUUCACACACAUAAGGGCGUCCACGCAGACGCCCACGUCUAGAGGUCACGCCCCUUCUGCCCAGAGUGUGACAGCAAGAGGCAGGAGUCUGGGAAUCAGGAGGAUCUGAACAUAUGACAAGUCUCUCCGAACGGACUCUACUGGACUAAACCUCAGCAUGUUUGGUUUCUGUUGCAGAUUAGAGGGCUGAUGUUCUGAAAUAAUUCACUGAUUAUAAUAAAAGUCAUGAGGUUGAUUUCAAAGUGACAAACCAAUUCAUGUUAAAAAUGUAUUCCUUCUUUGCGGGGCAAUAAUAGAAGUCUAGCCACGCUAGAGAGUUCCAGCAGGUAAUAUGUCCACCAUGUUUACCUUGUUAGCAUGUUAGCAUGCAAAUACACGAUAUACUGAGUGUGAUGAUUUCUUAUGAGAUGGCGCUGUGUGGAAUGAUUUAAAGAACAACCAGUGAAUUGAGCUUUACCAUGAUUAUAUAACUUUUUAGGACACAGUAGAACAUGACUUUUUAUGAUAUAGUAUUAGUUUUUCAUGCAAUACAAUGACUUUUUUGAUAAAUAUUUGACUUUUUAUGAAAUGCCACCCAAAGCAUUUCUUUCUGAAACUGUUAAUCACUUUUUACAAUGAUCUUUUUAUGACAAUGUUUAAAAUAUUCUGGCUAAAUUAUGCUGAACUAGGACCUUUGUUCUCAUGUUCGUGAUGAAUUCUAAAAAAAUGUAUGAAUAAAUAGUAUAACGCACAAACUUUAUAAAUACUAUGUUAGUAAAUCAUGUCAAGAAACGUGUAUACUAUGACUUCUUCUGACAGUCUUUUAUAACAUUUAGAAAUACAGAAAAAUUGACAUACAAUAGUGGUUAGUUCAUAAAAGUUAUGAUUAGUCGGUUUCUUUUCAAUAUCUUAAUAUUUGAAUGAGGAUUUUCUUUGUUUUUUCAUUUUUCUAAUGUCAAACACUCAGUACACUUCUUUGGACAUUCACAUACACUGACUUUUUUUUACAAAUUUACCAAAAUUGUAGUCCAUGACUUUGUUAUACUAUACUUUAUUUUCAAACAAAGUAUAGGCUUUUUAUCAUACACUACAAUAAAUCAUUUCUCAGGACAUUGUAUUCUAUGGAUUUUUAUGAAAGAAAAUCUGUGCCCAAUUAACCAUAAAUGAGUUUUUGUCAUCUUCAUUAACACAGGUGGCCCCUGUACUGACUUUUGUGUGCGAUGUGAUGCAGUUGCAAAGGUUUGUGUGU